GACGAACGCUGGCGGCGUGCUUAACACAUGCAAGUCGAACGGAAAGGCCCUGCUUUUGUGGGGUGCUCGAGUGGCGAACGGGUGAGUAACACGUGAGUAACCUGCCCUUGACUUUGGGAUAACUUCAGGAAACUGGGGCUAAUACCGGAUAGGAGCUCCUGCUGCAUGGUGGGGGUUGGAAAGUUUCGGCGGUUGGGGAUGGACUCGCGGCUUAUCGGCUUGUUGGUGGGGUAGUGGCUUACCCAGGCUUUGAAGGGUCGCCGGCCUGGGAGGGUGACCGGCCACAUUGGGACUGAGGUAGGGCCCAGACUGCUACGGGGGGCAGCGGUGGGGAAUAUGGCACAAUGGGCGGAAGCCGGAUGCAGCGGCGCCGCGUGCGGGAUGGCGGCCUUCGGGUUGUAAACCGCUGUCGCCUGUGACGAAGCGUGAGUGACGGUAAUGGGUAAAGAAGCACCGGCUAACUACGUG
rnacentral:rRNA from 1 species